ACAAAGUUCUCGGGCUUGGUUUGGAAGAUUUAAUGAGGCGAUACAAAAGUUUGGCAUGCAAAAUAGUAAGUGUGAUCAUUCAAUGAUUUAUAUGAAUUCUAACAUUGGCCUAAUCGUGUUAGUAGUGCAUGUGGAUGAUAUUUUCAUCACUGGGAGUGACUUGUAGGCAUUUCAUCUCUUAAAUCAUUCCUUCAACCACAAUUUUAGACAAAGGAUUUGGGACCUUGAAAGUACUUUUCGGGCAUUGAAGUUAGAAGAUUUAAGAAGGUAUUUUCUUGUGUCAGAGGAAAUAUUUUCUUGAUUUAUUCACAAAAAUAAGAAAAUUAGAUGCUAAGUCUUAUAGCACACUGACGAUUCCUAAUCUUACAACUAAUAGUAGGGGAUAGUGUGGUGUUUUGAAGAUCCUGAGAGGUAUAGGAGAUUGAUUGGUAAGUUAAAUUAUCUUACAAUGACUCGUCUAGAUAUUGCAUUCUUUGUUAGUAUAGCAAGUCAGUUUAUGACCUCUCCCACCGUUGUCCAUUGGGAGGCUUUCGGACAGAUUUUGUGUUACUUGAAGAGAGCUCUAGAAGGUGGUCUUUUAUAUGCAUUUCUUUCCAUGCUUUAAACUCUUCAACUUCUUUAUCUUUAACUUGUUGAUGAGUUUGUUGAAUAGAGUAUUUACUCUUACAUUCUUCAAGUACUUUCU
rnacentral:misc_RNA from 1 species